rnacentral:lncRNA from 1 species
CUACAAGAGGGUUUAGGGGAACUGUCCAGUUUAUUACUGCCAAUCUCAUUUGCUGUCACCUCACAAAGUUAAUAGUUUCACCUCUUAAUCCAUUUUGUCCCAUCAUCUCAGAUGUGGAACACCUAUAAAAACUUAAAUUGAACAAGAAAUAUACCAUUUGUGGAACUAAAUAAUUAAUUUAAUUUAACUAAUUGAAAACUUAGGGAUUAAUGGGCAGUUCUUGCAACCUUUGAACAUCAGGACCUGUAGUUUGGCAGUGCUGCCAGCAGGAGGCAGUGGGGUCUAAGUCAUGGGUCACCUGUGUUGCUGCUAUGCUUUACCUCUCCGGGCCCUCAGAUUUAUAACCAAGAGUUUUCCAGUUACCUAUUACAAAACUUAAUAAUAAUAAAAAUAAUAAAAUACCUGAUUAAAAUGACAGCUUUGUUUUAAAGUAUUGUACAAGCCAUCUUAUGGGGCUGGAGGUGUAGUUCAAUAGAAAAUUUUCCUAGCAUGCUCCAGACUCUGGGUUCAGUCCCUACCACUACAAAAGAAAAAGGCAUAUUCUGG